CAACUCACCCCUAACAUAAAAUUACUCUGAAGCAUUUGUGAUGACGGCUCGUCUGUCCAUCCACACCAACCAAAUACAACUCUCAACAACGGAUAUCUUGGCUCCCGUAUCGAUGAAGAACGCAGCGAAAUGCGAUACGUAGUGUGAAUUGCAGAAUUCCGUGAACCAUCGAAUCUUUGAACGCAACUUGCGCCCGAGGUUUCGGCCAAAGGCAUGUCUGCCUCAGCGUCGGCUC
rnacentral:rRNA from 1 species